GGGGAAUUUUCCGCAAUGGGGGAAACCCUGACGGAGCAAUACCGCGUGAGGGAGGAAGGCUCUUGGGUUGUAAACCUCCUUUCUCAGGGAAGAACAAAAUGACGGUACCUGAGGAAUCAGCAUCGGCUAACUCCGUGCCAGCAGCCGCGGUAAUACGGAGGAUGCAAGCGUUAUCCGGAAUGAUUGGGCGUAAAGCGUCCGCAGGUGGCAGUGUAAGUCUGCUGUCAAAGACUGGGGCUCAACCCUGGAAAGGCAGUGGAAACUACACAGCUGGAGUGCGGUAGGGGCAGAGGGAAUUCCCAGUGUAGCGGUGAAAUGCGUAGAGAUUGGGAAGAACACCGGUGGCGAAAGCGCUCUGCUAGGCCGUAACUGACACUGAGGGACGAAAGCUAGGGGAGCGAAUGGGAUUAGAUACCCCAGUAGUC
rnacentral:rRNA from 1 species